rnacentral:rRNA from 1 species
AGAGUUUGAUCCUGGCUCAGAACGAACGCUGGCGGCAGGCCUAACACAUGCAAGUCGAGCGCUACCUUCGGGUGGAGCGGCGGACGGGUUAGUAACGCGUGGGAACAUACCCCUUUCUAUGGAAUAGCCUCGGGAAACUGAGAGUAAUACCAUAUACGCCCUUCGGGGGAAAGAUUUAUCGGUGAGGGAUUGGCCCGCGUAAGAUUAGAUAGUUGGUGGGGUAAUGGCCUACCAAGUCUACGAUCUUUAGCUGGUUUUAGAGGAUGAUCAGCAACACUGGGACUGAGACACGGCCCAGACUCCUACGGGAGGCAGCAGUGGGGAAUCUUAGACAAUGGGCGAAAGCCUGAUCUAGCCAUGCCGCGUGAGUGAUGAAGGCCUUAGGGUCGUAAAGCUCUUUCGCUAGGGAUGAUAAUGACAGUACCUAGUAAAGAAGCCCCGGCUAACUCCGUGCCAGCAGCCGCGGUAAUACGGAGGGGGCUAGCGUUGUUCGGAAUUACUGGGCGUAAAGCGUACGUAGGCGGAUCAGAAAGUAUGGGGUGAAAUCCCAGGGCUUAACCCUGGAACUGCCUCAUAAACUCCUGGUCUUGAGUUCGAGAGAGGUGAGUGGAAUUCCAAGUGUAGAGGUGAAAUUCGUAGAUAUUUGGAGGAACACCAGUGGCGAAGGCGGCUCACUGGCUCGAUACUGACGCUGAGGUACGAAAGUGUGGGGAGCAAACAGGAUUAGAUACCCUGGUAGUCCACACCGUAAACGAUGAAUGCCAGUCGUCGGGCAGUAUA